GACGAACGCUGGCGGCGUGCUUAACACAUGCAAGUCGAACGCUGAAGCUUGGUGCUUGCACUGGGUGGAUGAGUGGCGAACGGGUGAGUAAUACGUGAGUAACCUGCCCUUGACUCUGGGAUAAGCCUGGGAAACUGGUUCUAAUACUGGAUACGACAUGUCACCGCAUGGUGGUGUGUGGAAAGGGUUUUACUGGUUUUGGAUGGGCUCACGGCCUAUCAGCUUGUUGGUGGGGUAAUGGCUCACCAAGGCGACGACGGGUAGCCGGCCUGAGAGGGUGACCGGCCACACUGGGACUGAGACACGGCCCAGAAUCCGACGGGAGGCAGCAGUGGGGAAUAUUGCACAAUGGGCGGAAGCCUGAUGCAGCGACGCCGCGUGAGGGAUGACGGCCUUCGGGUUGUAAACCUCUUUCAGCACGGAAGAAGCGAAAGUGACGGUACGUGCAGAAGAAGCGCCGGCUAACUACGUG
rnacentral:rRNA from 1 species